UGCAUCUAGAUUAGACUUUGAUCCUGGCUCAGAGCGAACGCUGGCGGCGUGCCUAACACAUGCAAGUCGAACGUGAAAGUCCGCAAGGAUGAGUAAAGUGGCGUACGGGUGAGUAACACGUAGGUAAUCUACCGAAGAGUCUGGAAUAACCUGCCGAAAGGCGGGCUAAUACUGGAUAGAGCGACGGGAUCCGUAAUUGGGUCUUUCGGGAAAGGGAGGAAGCAAUUCCCCUUGCUCUUCGAUGAGCCUGCGUCUCAUUAGCUAGUUGGCGGGGUAAUGGCCCACCAAGGCUUUGAUGAGUAGCUGGUCUGAGAGGAUGAUCAGCCACACUGGAACUGAAACACGGUCCAGACUCCUACGGGAGGCAGCAGUGGGGAAUCUUGCGCAAUGGACGAAAGUCUGACGCAGCCACGCCGCGUGAGUGAAGAAGGUCUUCGGGUUGUAAAGCUCUGUCGGGCGGGACGAACAUCCAUGAGGUGAAUAGCCUCGUGGACUGACGGUACCGCCAAAGGAAGCACCGGCUAACUUCGUGCCAGCAGCCGCGGUAAUACGAGGGGUGCAAGCGUUGCUCGGAA
rnacentral:rRNA from 1 species